UGACUACAGGGGUAUCUAAUCCCUUUCGCUACCCUAGCUUUCGUCCCUGAGUGUCAGUUUCGGUCCAGUAGCACGCCUUCGCCACCGAUGUUCCUCCCAAUAUCUACGCAUUUCACCGCUACACUGGGAAUACCCGCUACCCCUACCGAACUCUAGUCUCUCAGUUUCCACCGCCUGCCCAGAGUUAAGCUCUGGUCUUUGACAGCAGACUUGAAAGACCACCUGCGGACGCUUUACGCCCAAUAAUUCCGGAUAACGCUUGCAUCCUCCGUAUUACCGCGG
rnacentral:rRNA from 1 species